CCUACGGGUGGCAGCAGUGGGGAAUAUUGGACAAUGGGCGAAAGCCUGAUCCAGCCAUGCCGCGUGUGUGAAGAAGGCCUUCGGGUUGUAAAGCACUUUCAGUGGGGAAGAAAGCCUUGGGGCUAAUACCCUCGAGGAAGGACAUCACCCACAGAAGAAGCACCGGCUAACUCCGUGCCAGCAGCCGCGGUAAUACGGAGGGUGCGAGCGUUAAUCGGAAUUACUGGGCGUAAAGCGCGCGUAGGCGGUCUGAUAAGCCGGUUGUGAAAGCCCCGGGCUCAACCUGGGAACGGCAUCCGGGACUGGCAGGGUAAGGGGCAAGGAGAGAAAGGAGGAUGCCCGGGGGAGGCGGGGAAUUGCGAAAGGCCGGGAGGAAUAACAGUGGGGGAGGGCGGCCUCCGGACCGGCCAUGGAGGUGGGGUGGCGAAGGCUUGGUAACAAACAAGGAUAAGAAACCCGUGAAGU
rnacentral:rRNA from 1 species